rnacentral:rRNA from 1 species
UACGUAGGGUGCGAGCGUUGUCCGGAAUUAUUGGGCGUAAAGAGCUUGUAGGCGGUUGUCGCGUCUGCUGUGAAAAUCCGGGCUCAACCCGGACUUGCAGUGGGUACGGCAGACUAGAGUGUGGUAGGGAGACUGGAAUUCCUGGUGUAGCGGUGAAAUGCGCAGAUAUCAGGAGGAACACCGAUGGCGAAGGCAGGUCUCUGGGCCACUACUGACGCUGAGAAGCGAAGCAUGGGGAGCGAACAGG